GUCGCCCAGGCUGGAGUGCAGAGGCGCGAUCUCGGCUCACUGCAAGCUCCGCCCCCGCGGGUUCACGCCAUUCUCCCGCCUCAGCCUCCGGAGCAGCUGGGAUUACAGGCGCCCGCCAUCACGCCCAGGUUCUCCUUCUCUCCUCUAUCCUGCCACUUUGUGAAGAAGGUGCUUGCUUCUCCUUCACCUUCCACCAUGAUUGUAAGUUUCCUGAGGCCUCCCCAGCCAUGUGGAACUAGGUGACAUUUUUCCAACGCCUGAAUGAAUGAUGAGAAGGAGCCAAACAUGAAAUUCUCUGGGGAAACAGCAUUUUCUUGAGCAGGAAGAAUACGUUCAAACUUCUGUGGCAAAGGAGAUAAGGUCAAAAUGAAAAAUAGAAUAUAAAAACUUCUCUACUCCUGACUCACCAACGCACCAGAACAACUUUUAGUCCUGCAAUCAUGAAGCAUUGAUUGAACAUCUUCUACAUAUUAUCACCACCCUAGACACUACAACAACAAAGAAGUCAAUACUAGUUUCAAUUUGUGGAAAGCUGGAAAUGCGAUGAUUCCCAUGCCCUGAGUUUCUGCUCCAGACACCAGGUGGGGGCAUGGCAAUUGUGACUGGAGAGAGUGGAGGGGUCAUCUUAUCCACCACAUCAGAAGCUGAGGUUAGGAUAUUGUGGCAAGAGAUGAAAAGUGAAGUGAUGUGAGGAAACUUCAUCCUGAAUUCAACUAAAGCCCUGGAAUACUUGUUCAAAUAACCAGCUGACAACUUGGGGUUAAGCUGUCUUGAAUUUAACCUGUUUAGCUCAGCCAAUACAAUUAUGAAAUAAAAAGUUAACAGUCUACUAUUUUGUAGUCCCUGGAUAAAGAGGCCUAAAUGGUAUCCUGUAAAGUUAUGCAGAGUACUAUCUGCAUAGAUCUAGUCAAUGACCUUGGCUAGUAGCAUCAUUUGGUUUCCAGCUUUAUGUGCAUCAAUUCUUCUUUAUAUGCAGUAGUUAAUUUAAUGCACCAUAUAUCUUAUCUCUAACUCCUUGGGAAACAUUUGAAUUUAGUUAUUUUCCAUUCUACUAUUGAGAAUCUGUCUUCACAAGUCACAUAGCACUGUUACAAACACAAAUCACUUGGCGUACACAAUCCAAAUUAAGUAUACAUUUUGCCUGUGUUGCUAUUUCAUGGUAAAUUUUAUUUUCCAUUUUCUUAUUUUCAUUUUCUGUCUUUUAUUACCUUCUGAUGACACUGAAAUGCCUAAAGAAGUAGAUAAAUAUCUUGUUCUAACUUUGCUGAUUAAAAAGAAAACAGUUAAGCCUUGUACAUUUCACAGUAAUGAAGAAAGACUCACAAACAUUUUAUCAGGUCUGAAAAUUUGUCACCAGAUGUAUGUGGAAACUGUCUUGGUGAACCUGCCUUCAUGCAAAUUUGAAACAUCUUAUUAAACUUAAAAAUAAACAUUGUCUCUUUUUCUUAUUUAUUAAUAAUGUAGUUUUGUUUUAUGAUUCAAAUUUUCUUUAGAAAGUGGCUUUAUAAUUGCACAGGAGACAAGAAUUAAUUCUACUGGGGCUUUAUAUCAAAAUGCUUCAUUUCUAAGUG
rnacentral:lncRNA from 1 species